rnacentral:rRNA from 1 species
AGGGUUUGAUCCUGGCUCAGAACGAACGUUAGCGGUGUGGAUUAGGCAUGCAAGUCGUGCGUGAAAGCCUUCGGGUGAGUAAAGCGGCGUAAGGGUGAGUAACACGUAACCAACCUGCCCCUCUGAUCGGGAUAACCACUGGAAACGGUGGAUAAUACCGGAUGGUCCCCGCGGGAGGCAUCUCCUGUUGGGUAAACGGCCGCUUUAGCGGUUGUGGAGGGAGGGGGUUGCGGCCUAUCAGCUUGUUGGUGAGGUAAUGGCUCACCAAGGCUAUGACGGGUAGCCGGUCUGAGAGGACGAUCGGCCACACUGGGACUGAGACACUGCCCAGACUCCUACGGGAGGCUGCAGUCGAGAAUCUUCCGCAAUGGGCGAAAGCCUGACGGAGCGACACCGCGUGCAGGAUGAAGGCUCUAGGGUUGUAAACUGCUGUCACAUACUAGGAAUGCUGUGCAGCUAAUAAGUGUACGGUUGACUAACGUGAAAGGAAGCACCGGCUAACUCCGUGCCAGCAGCCGCGGUAAUACGGAGGGUGCAAACGUUGUUCGGAAUUAUUGGGCAUAAAGAGCACGUAGGCGGUGCGGCAAGUCAGAUGUGAAAGCCCUCGGCUUAACCGAGGAAGUGCACCUGAAACUGCCACACUAGAGAACGGUUGGGGUGAGUGGAACUCCUGGUGGAGCGGUGAAAUGCGUAGAUAUCAGGAGGAACACCGGUGGCGAAAGCGGCUCACUGGACCGUUACUGACGCUGAGGUGCGAAAGCUAGGGGAGCGAACGGGAUUAGAUACCCCGGUAGUCCUAGCCGUAAACGAUGGGUACUAGGUAAGGGGAAUGCCUAUGGUCUUCCUUACCGGAGCAAAUGUGUUAAGUACCCCGCCUGGGGAGUACGCUCGCAAGGGUAAAACUCAAAGGAAUUGACGGGGGAUCACACAAGCGGUGGAGCAUGUGGUUUAAUUCGAAGCA